CCAGACUCCUACGGGAGGCAGCAGUGGGGAAUAUUGCACAAUGGGGGAAACCCUGAUGCAGCGACGCCGCGUGAGUGAAGAAGUAUUUCGGUAUGUAAAGCUCUAUCAGCAGGGAAGAAGAAAGACGGUACCUGACUAAGAAGCCCCGGCUAACUACGUGCCAGCAGCCGCGGUAAUACGUAGGGGGCAAGCGUUAUCCGGAUUUACUGGGUGUAAAGGGAGCGUAGACGGGCCAGCAAGUCUGAUGUGAAAACCCGGGGCCCAACCCCGGGAGUGCAUUGGAAACUGCGGGCCUGGAGUGCCGGAGAGGUAAGCGGAAUUCCUAGUGUAGCGGUGAAAUGCGUAGAUAUUAGGAGGAACACCAGUGGCGAAGGCGGCUUACUGGACGGUAACUGACGUUGAGGCUCGAAAGCGUGGGGAGCAAACAGGAUUAGAUACCCUAGUACU
rnacentral:rRNA from 1 species